rnacentral:lncRNA from 8 species
ACCGUAUUAGACUAAGCAGAGGUGAUUUGAUCAUGUUGAUGCUGGAAUAUUGGAAGCAGAUCCUGAUUUCUUUGCGACUUGCGGUAUCUCUCUGUGGUACUAAAUCAAUAGUUGUCUAGUGGUCCGAAAAUGUCGGAAACAUGAACUUGCUUGACCAUGCUGUAGGUCAUGUAACUGUCUAUUACUGUUCAUGCAAUAUGCAUUGCUGGACUUCACUGGAUAGAGGUCGCUAUCCGGUUUAGUGAUAAAAAACAAAGGUGUGGUUGAAUGUAUUAUUCCACAAUGUCUUCUUAUUGUCUCUGCCUUUAGGCCAAUAUAUCACGACACAUAGGUUGUAAUAUGGCUUCUCCAGUGAUUUUACCCACGCACCGCUACUGCUAGCCUAGGCUAUGCAUCGAGUCUCUAAUGGUCAUAAAAAAGCGUUAAUAGUCCAAUUAACAGCAUAAGACACCAAGGCUAUAUAGGGGCUGUUAGUCCCAGAUAUUCCAUGGUAAAACCAUCGGCCCAUAUAACUAACUUUCAGCCAUACAUUUUCAGUUGGAUUCAGAAACAGGAGUCAUGGUCAUCUUUACACAAGUUGGAGCUUUCCUUCGAUAUGCUCUCUCCAAACGUCCGAAAUUCAGUGAUGGAUGAUCUCAGUCCUGCGUGUGCCCUUUGAAUAGUUUGUGUGUGUGUCACGACUGCGCGGGUUCUCGCACUCCGACACCAAUUCAGGGCUCGCCUGUGGUUGACAGCGCGUGGUUCACGCUGGACCCUCCUUCCCGUCUCCUCCUCUUUCCCUUCUCUCUCUCUGUCUCUCUCUCUCUCUCGCUUUCUCUCUCUUUUCCUUCUUUCCUCUACUCCGCUCAUUCACGAGGGCUCGCUCACCAACUCUACACGAAACAGGGAUGCAGCGAGCGCAAGGCGCAGCCUGAAAAAUGGCACGAGUCUUCCCUUGGAUCUAUCCAUCCCUUUUUAUUUUCUCCCCCUUUCUUUUUCACGCGUUUGCGCCAUGUAAAGGCUUACGGAAUUACCCGGAGAAUGAAGGAUUCCAGCUUUGAAGAGCCCCAGACCGUCCAGGGGCACAGGCAGGACUGCAGAAAGAAUUGGACAGGAAGACCUUGAAAGGGCUACCCGACUGAAAGGAGAGGCUGGCCGAGAAGAAGACUAAAUUGCGAGAGCUGUCCAUUGAAGGGGAGAUGCUGGAGCUGUCCGCUUCCCUUCUACCUGGAGUGAUUUUUGACAUGGUGUACCGGAGAGCUAUCCCAGGGUCUCCAGAAAUCCAAGACAACCUCACUGGUGCACCUGCCUUAAUUGCAGGGAGACUCCUGCACCUUACAACACACAACUGCUGCCAUUUCACCACUGCAAUAUUCAAUGUAUUUAUUACCAAGUAUGUUACCAUAACAAGAUGACACUUUCCAUGACUACACCGUACUUUAUUCUUAAUUUGGAUCUAAAUUAAGAAAAUAUGGUAAUAUCUUUAAGUAGUUUUGUGAAUUUUUCCUUGGUCUGGGUGAAAUCAGUUCAAUACUUUACCAGUUCACCACAUUGUUUCCCUUACACUACCUUGUAUUCUUGUUUAUCUACCUAAUAAAACUAUUUGGCCUGAUCGUCUAAUCGGACCGACUUGUUUUGUACUGCAUUUACACCAGGGUAGUCCGUCCGUCUUUCUGGAUAUCUAUCCACCUGUGGGUCUGCUCAUUUGAAGUGUAAACCGUCAAGAGCGUAGAUAUCCAGGAAAAUAACAGUUUAGUAAAUUCUUCUAAAGCCAUUCCAAAAGUACAAUGAUGACUAUAUGCUAGAUAAAUGCACAAGUACUGUUUCUCACACAAGUUUGUUUCCCACACAAACUUCCCUUAUUUAUAUGUUUGAUUGUAGGCCCACCUCUUUCAAAAACAAUUCUGAGUUCUCUGUCGGUUUUCACACUUUCCAGGAA